rnacentral:rRNA from 1 species
CCUACGGGAGGCAGCAGUGGGGAAUAUUGCACAAUGGGCGCAAGCCUGAUGCAGCCAUGCCGCGUGUAUGAAGAAGGCCUUCGGGUUGUAAAGUACUUUCAGCGGGGAGGAAGGGAGUAAAGUUAAUACCUUUGCUCAUUGACGUUACCCGCAGAAGAAGCACCGGCUAACUCCGUGCCAGCAGCCGCGGUAAUACGGAGGGUGCAAGCGUUAAUCGGAAUUACUGGGCGUAAAGCGCACGCAGGCGGUUUGUAAGUCAGAUGUGAAAUCCCCGGGCUCAACCUGGGAACUGCAUCUGAUACUGGCAAGCUUGAGUCUCGUAGAGGGGGGUAGAAUUCCAGGUGUAGCGGUGAAAUGCGUAGAGAUCUGGAGGAAUACCGGUGGCGAAGGNGGCCCCCUGGACGAAGACUGACGCUC